UACGUAGGGUGCGAGCGUUAAUCGGAAUUACUGGGCGUAAAGUGUGCGCAGGCGGCCGCGCAAGUCGAGUGUGAAAGCCCCGGGCUUAACUUGGGAAUUGCGCUCGAAACUACGUGGCUGGAGUGUGGCAGAGGAAGGUGGAAUUCCACGUGUAGCGGUGAAACGCGUAGAGAUGUGGAGGAACACCAAUGGCGAAGGCAGCCUUCUGGGCCAACACUGACGCUCAUGCACGAAAGCGUGGGGAGCAAACAGG
rnacentral:rRNA from 1 species